UACGUAGGGGGGCAAGCGUUGUCCGGAUUUAUUGGGCGUAAAGAGCGUGUAGGCGGCUGGGUAGGUCCGUUGUGAAAACUCGAGGCUCAACCUCGAGACGCCGAUGGAAACCCUCCAGCUAGAGUCCGGAAGAGGAGAGUGGAAUUCCUGGUGUAGCGGUGAAAUGCACAGAUAUCAGGAAGAACACCCGUGGCUAAGGCGGCUCUCUAGUACGGUACUGACGCUGAGACGCGAAAGCGUGGGGAGCGAACAGG
rnacentral:rRNA from 1 species